UAGAAAUUGUCCCUAUCUACUAUCUAGCGAAACCACAGCCAAGGGAACGGGCUUGGAAAAAUCAGCGGGGAAAGAAGACCCUGUUGAGCUUGACUCUAGUCUGACUCUGUGAAGAGACAUGAGAGGUGUAGCAUAAGUGGGAGGCCGUGAACCCUCGCGGUUGUGUCGUGCCGACAGUGAAAUACCUCUACUUUCAUCGUUUCUUUACUUACUCGGUGAAGCGGAAAGCGGACCAUGAGUGUCCACGCUUCUAGCACUAAGUGCAAGGCCCUUCGUUGGCCCGCACGAUCUGUUCCGAGGACAGUGUCAGGCGGGGAGUUUGACUGGGGCGGUACAUCUGUCAAAUGGUAACGCAGGUGUCCUAAGGAGAGCUCAGCGAGGACAGAAACCUCGCGUAGAGCAAAAGGGCAAAUGCUGCUUGAUCUUGAUUUCAGUACGAU
rnacentral:ncRNA from 1 species